rnacentral:lncRNA from 1 species
AUGUAUAUUCUAUAAUAAAUAAAUAACCAUGAUAUUUCAGAAAUCUCAAAUUUAUAAAUCAUUUUUCGUUCAAAAUAUAGUUUCAUAAAUCAUGCAUAAUUUAAAAAAUAAUUAUUUAUUUUUAAAAUAAAUUAUGAAAUAUCAUGAAAAAAUGGUUCAUUACUUAUCUUUAUAGAACACAAAAUAUACAGAUUCAUUUAAUCCUAAAAGCAUAUUUCAUAAUCUAUUAUUCAAAAUAUAUUCUUUUAUCAGUCUUAAGCUACAACUAAUGAUAUCUAGAUCUCACCA